UACAGAGGGUGCAAGCGUUGUUCGGAAUCAUUGGGCGUAAAGGGCGUGUAGGCGGUUUGUUAAGUCAUGUGUGAAAUCCCUCGGCUCAACCGGGGAACGACGCAUGGAACUGGCAGCUAGAGUACCAAAGAGGGGGGUGGAAUUCCCGGUGUAGCGGUGGAAAUGCGUAGAUAUCGGGAGGAACACCUGUGGCGAAGGCGGCCCCCUGGUGGAUACUGACGCUGAGACGCGAAGCGUGGGAGCAA
rnacentral:rRNA from 1 species